UGUCUGUGACCUAAACCAUGCCUCAUGGCAACUGAGCAGGGUCAGGGAUCAAACCUUUGUCCUCAUGGGUGCUAGCCAGGUUCAUUCCUGCUGAGCUACAACAACAGGAACUCCUGAUGCUGUUGCUUUUUUUUUUUUUGCUUUUUAGGGCUGCACUCACAGCAUGUGGAAGUUCCCAGGCUAGGGGUCGAAUCAAAGCAGACAGCUGCCCGGCUGCACCUCAGUUUGGGAUCUGAGCCACAUCUCUGACCUACACCCCAGGUCAGGGCAACACCGGAUCCUUAACCCACUGAGGGAGGCCACGGUUCCAACUUGCAUCCUCAUGGAGCCCAGUCAGUACCUGCUGAGCCUUGAAGGGAACUCUGAUCCUGUGGCUUUUUGUUUUUGUUUUUUUUUUUUUUGCUAUUUCUUUGGGCCGCUCUCGCGGCAUAUGGAGGUUCCCAGGCUAGGGGUCGAAUCGGAGCUGUAGCCACUGGCCUACGCCAGAGCCUGUGGCUUUUUGAUUAGAGACACCUCUAAGUCUGAAGAAGGGAAGGUCUUCCUGGAAUUGUUACUUCUUGUUUGUGCAGCAACCUGACCUCUGCAGCAGGCUUCUGCUGACCAUUUGUUUUCUUCAUUUUUCCAGGCUGUGAGACACCAAAUCCUUCGGCCAGCAGUGAUCCUCCCUCAUUUCAAGGCAGUAACACCCCCAUCUUGGGCACUCGACCUCCGCUCCUUCCAACCCCGGGAAAGAACUGCUUCCUAGGCCCUCCUCCCGCAGUUUCAGCUAAGACCCCCUUGCUAGGGGACAGGCCAGUCGGGCUCCUUCCACGUCCAGGUGGUCUUCUUCCACUGCCAGCCCCCUCUGCCCCCUCCAAGAGGCCUGCUCCUUUGCGAAGACCUCCUUCCAAGCCUGCCAAGCGUUCAUUACUUGGAGAGAAACCAGGCCUUCUACCACCACCGCCAGGUGAGUAGCCAGGUGAGCGGUGAGCGGCAUUCUAGGCUCGUGCUGACCAGUAGAACUUUCUGUAGUGGGAGAAAUGUGUUGUCCAUUGCGGUAGCCAUCAGCCACACGUGGCUAUGGAAUGCUUGAAAUGUGGCUGGUACUACUGAAUUUUUAAUUUUAAUCAAUUUGCAUGACUCUGAUCACAUAGUAAUUGCAUCCUGGUCCUAGGUGGCUGGUGGCUUUUGGGCUGUUGAAGUUAUCAAUCAUUUCUGUCUUUUUUUUUGCCACACCUGGGGCAUGUGGACGUUCCCAGGACAGGGACUGAACCUGCACUGCAGUUGCAGCCUGUGCUACAGGCUGCUGUGGCAACACCACAUCCUUAACCAUUGCCCCACAAGGGAACUUCCUUUGUCUCCUCCUUUUUUUUUUUUUUUUUUUUUUUGCUUUGCUUUUUAGGGCUGUAUCUGCAACAUCUGGAAGUUCCCAGGCUAGGGGUUAAAUUGGAACUGCAGCUGCCCACCUACGCCACAGCAACGUGGGAUCUAAG
rnacentral:lncRNA from 1 species